rnacentral:snRNA from 1 species
CACACUGCUUUACCCUUUGGCUAAGAUCAAAGUGUAGUAUUUGUUCUUGCCAGUUUAAUAUCUGAUAUGGUCCCAUGUUGGGGGCCAUCAAUAUUAAACUGAUUUUUACAACAGGGCAAAGAGUUAGGGGCUUGCUCUGCUUUUACUACAGGUUGGCCUGGUAUUGCAGUACUUCCAGGAUUCAGUCAAUCUCCU